rnacentral:rRNA from 1 species
GUUAUUGAAGAAUCAUUUUCGUUUUUGUAUAUUUGUGAUUUAAUUUUUUGUACUAUAGAUUAUUUGUACCGUAAGGGCUUGAUUUGUUAAUGUUUUUUUAAAAGCUGAUUUAAUUUGUUGUACCUUGUGUAUCAGGGUUCAUUAAAUUUUAUUAUUUAUUUUUAUUUCCCGAUUUUAAAGGAGUUAAUGAUUUAUAUUAGUUAUUGUUUCAAUAUUAUUAAUAAUAGGUUAUUGGUAGUGAAAUGUUAUUCGUCUUUAGUGGUUUCUGGUUUUUCAAGAAAUGAAUUUAAUUCAUUUCCCUUAUUUAAUUUUUACUUUUGUUUAUAUUUUUUUAUUUGGUGAUAAGAUUAAGGGGGAUUAGCUCCUUAUUUAAUUUUUAUAAUUUUGUUUUAAUUUAUUUUUGUGGAUUUUAUAGUGAUUUUCAAUUUGAUUAUGUUAAAAUUUUAUUUAUUCUUUUAUUUAUUUAUUUUGUAAUUUAAUUUGUUUAUUGAAAUGUUUUCUUUACUUGUUUAUUUGGAUAGUAAUUAUUGUGUAAUUAGUAAAUUUUACUUUAUAUUGUUUAUUAUUGUGUUAAAUUCUUUUAAGGAAUUCGGCAAAUUUUGUAUGUCCGCCUGUUUAACAAAAACAUCUUUUCUUGUUAGUUUUUGAAGUAUGGCCUGCCCACUGACUUUGUGUUGAAGGGCCGCGGUAUUUUGACCGUGCAAAGGUAGCAUAAUCAUUAGUUCUUUAAUUGUGAUCUGGUAUGAAUGGCUUGACGAGACAUAGACUGUCUUAAAGAUUGAAUAUAUGAUUGAAUUUGGUUUUUGAGUUAAAAUUCUUAAAUGUUUUUAUGGGACGAGAAGACCCUAUAGAGUUUGACAUUUGAUUUACUUUUUAUUAUUUUGUUUGUCUUUUUUAUUAAGUGAUUAUAAGUGUUUUGUUGGGGUGAUGGGAGGAAUUUAUUUAACUCCUCUUUAUUUUGAAUAUUUAUUUAUAAUUUUUUGAUCCAUUUAUUUUGAUUAUAAGAUUAAAUUACCUUAGGGAUAACAGCGUUAUCUUCCUUGAGAGUUCUUAUUGGCGGGGAGGUUUGCGACCUCGAUGUUGGAUUAAGGUUUAUUUUCGGUGUAGGAGCUGAAAGUGAUUGGGUCUGUUCGACCUUUAAAAUCUUACAUGAUCUGAGUUCAGACCGGCGUGAGCCAGGUUGGUUUCUAUCUAUUAAUAUUUAUUAUACCUUAGUACGAGAGGACCGGGUAUUUGGAAUAAUUUUGUUUUAGUAUGAUU